AGAAUCAACGCUGGCGGCGUGCCUAACACAUGCAAGUCGAACGAGAAAGUGGAGCAAUCCAUGAGUAAAGUGGCGCACGGGUGAGUAACACGUGACUAACCUACCCUUGAGUGGGGGAUAACCUCGGGAAACCGGGGCUAAUACCGCAUAAUAUCGAGAGAUCAAAGGAGCAAUUCGCUUAAGGAGGGGGUCGCGGCUGAUUAGCUAGUUGGUAGGGUAAUGGCCUACCAAGGCUAUGAUCAGUAUCCGGCCUGAGAGGGCGCACGGACACACUGGAACUGAAACACGGUCCAGACUCCUACGGGAGGCAGCAGUGGGGAAUUUUGCGCAAUGGGGGAAACCCUGACGCAGCAACGCCGCGUGGAGGAUGAAGUCCCUUGGGACGUAAACUCCUUUCGAUCGGGACGAUAAUGACGGUACCGGAAGAAGAAGCCCCGGCUAACUUCGCGCCAGCAGCCGC
rnacentral:rRNA from 1 species